rnacentral:rRNA from 1 species
GACGAACGCUGGCGGCGUGCCUAAUACAUGCAAGUAGAACGCACAGGAUGCACCGUAGUUUACUACACCGUAUUCUGUGAGUUGCGAACGGGUGAGUAACGCGUAGGUAACCUGCCUGGUAGCGGGGGAUAACUAUUGGAAACGAUAGCUAAUACCGCAUAAGAACAUUUACUGCAUGGUAGAUGUUUAAAAGGUGCAAAUGUAUCACUACCAGAUGGACCUGCGUUGUAUUAGCUAGUUGGUGGGGUAACGGCUCACCAAGGCGACGAUACAUAGCCGACCUGAGAGGGUGAUCGGCCACACUGGGACUGAGACACGGCCCAGACUCCUACGGGAGGCAGCAGUAGGGAAUCUUCGGCAAUGGACGGAAGUCUGACCGAGCAACGCCGCGUGAGUGAAGAAGGUUUUCGGAUCGUAAAGCUCUGUUGUAAGAGAAGAACGAGUGUGAGAGUGGAAAGGUCACAAUGUGAUUGG